AUAGCCAUGCAUGUCUCAGUACAAGCCAAAUUAAGGUGAAACCGCGAAAGGCUCAUUAAAUCAGUUAUGGUUCCUUAGAUCGUACCCACACUUACUUGGAUAACUGUGGUAAUUCUAGAGCUAAUACAUGCAAACAGAGCUCCGACCGGAGACGGAAGGAGCGCUUUUAUUAGAUCAAAACCAAUCGGUGGCGGGUUCGCUCGUCAUCGUACAACUUGGUGACUCUGAAUAACUUUACGCUGAUCGCACGGUCUUGCACCGGCGACGCAUCUUUCAAAUGUCUGCCUUAUCAACUGUCGAUGGUAGGUUCUGCGCCUACCAUGGUUGUAACGGGUAACGGGGAAUCAGGGUUCGAUUCCGGAGAGGGAGCCUGAGAAACGGCUACCACAUCCAAGGAAGGCAGCAGGCGCGCAAAUUACCCACUCCCGGCACGGGGAGGUAGUGACGAAAAAUAACGAUACGGGACUCAUCCGAGGCCCCGUAAUCGGAAUGAGUACACUCUAAACCCUUUAACGAGGAUCAAUUGGAGGGCAAGUCUGGUGCCAGCAGCCGCGGUAAUUCCAGCUCCAAUAGCGUAUAUUAAAGUUGUUGCGGUUAAAAAGCUCGUAGUCGAAUCUGUGUCCCGCGCCGCCGGUUCAUCGUCCGCGGUGUUAACUGGCGUGCCGCGGGACGUCCUGCCGGUGGGCUUAGCUCGCAAGGGCGGCCCAACUCUCAAUCCCGCCGCGGUGCUCUUCACUGAGUGUCGAGGUGGGCCGGCACGUUUACUUUGAACAAAUUAGAGUGCUUAAAGCAGGCUAAAACUUCGCCUGAAUACUGUGUGCAUGGAAUAAUGGAAUAGGACCUCGGUUCUAUUUUGUUGGUUUUCGGAACCCCGAGGUAAUGAUUAAUAGGAACGGAUGGGGGCAUUCGUAUUGCGACGUUAGAGGUGAAAUUCUUGGAUCGUCGCAAGACGGACAGAAGCGAAAGCAUUUGCCAAAAACGCUUUCAUUGAUCAAGAA
rnacentral:rRNA from 1 species